GUGGGGAAUUUUGGACAAUGGGCGCAAGCCUGAUCCAGCCAUUCCGCGUGCAGGAUGAAGGCCUUCGGGUUGUAAACUGCUUUUGUACGGAACGAAAAGCCUCUGGUUAAUACCCGGGGGUCAUGACGGUACCGUAAGAAUAAGCACCGGCUAACUACGUGCCAGCAGCCGCGGUAAUACGUAGGGUGCGAGCGUUAAUCGGAAUUACUGGGCGUAAAGCGUGCGCAGGCGGUGAUGUAAGACAGUUGUGAAAUCCCCGGGCUCAACCUGGGAAUGGCGUUUGUGACUGCAAAGCUGGAGUGCGGCAGAGGGGGAUGGAAUUCCGCGUGUAGCAGUGAAAUGCGUAGAUAUGCGGAGGAACACCGAUGGUGAAGGCAAUCCCCUGGGCCUGCACUGACGCUCAUGCACGAAAGCGUGGGGAGCAAACAGGAUUAGAUACCCUUGUAGUCC
rnacentral:rRNA from 1 species